AAUAGAGCAGGUUAUGAAGAUAGCUUGGAAGAAGAAAGCUGUUGAGCGCUAUCGUAGCCUUAUAUGUAAUAUAAGGAAUGAGAAGGAGAAGAGGCUAUCAUUGACAGAAGGAGUAAUGGAUGCAUGGCAAUCCGCUUGGGGAGCAAAUGAGUAUCAAAACCAAUGCAAAAAAUUUUCAAAUAACAGAAAGAGUGAAAUAGGUGGAUAAGGCGUUGGC
rnacentral:lncRNA from 1 species